UAGCUGUAAAGCAUGCGGGCCAGGUGUCUGGUGUUCCUCGAGAGCACCAGGUGCCGGAGAGAAGUCGUUAAGCCCGCCGCCUGGGAAGURCGGUCGCAAGGCUGAAACUUAAGGAAAUUGGCGGGGGAGCACCACAAGGGGUGGGACCUGCGGUUC
rnacentral:rRNA from 1 species